rnacentral:snoRNA from 1 species
CAGGAGGUAAAAAAAAAAUCCACUCUGACUCAUAGUAUUCUAGAGGAAUCAGUCCACAACCUUAAGUGGAAAGUUCUUUUUUCUGUCCAUUGUCAGUGUUUUGAUGAUGGCGUUCAGCUUGCCAAAUAUCA